rnacentral:lncRNA from 1 species
UCAGCACUGCUCUUCUGUUGGAUUUUGUUUCCUGUUGCCAGACUUGUCUUUAUUCUGCAUCUGCACUCCUCUUCCCCUGUUCUUUCUUCUCUGUAUCCUCACUCCUCUUUCUGCUGCCUCUGCUCUCCUCUCUGCUUUUCUUUGUUCCCUGUAUUCUCACUUGUCUUUCUUCUGACUGCUCUUGAAGAGAGAGAGCAGGACCCUGCAGUUUGAGAGAGAAGGGCCUCACAGCAAGAAAGGGGAAAGCAGCUUCACAAAGUAGAAACAAGGGGCAAAUAGAGAUAGUUUAGGUAGAGAGUGUUAGAAAACAAGGGGUUCCAAGCACUUGCACAGACACUGGGUCUGGAAUAGCAAGGAGGAUGAAGGCCAUAGAGAUAAGGGCUGGAGAGCAGCUCGAAAAAACAUUUGGCAGGGAGGUGAUUAGUUGUCUACAGGGCAAGUUGAAACUGGUUUGGGGGAUGCCCCCCCUUCAGGGUCAGAAGUUUGCAGCGAGGAAGACGACGAGCCUUUGUGAGGAAGACUGCAAGCCUUCAUCAUCACGACCUACUACGCCCGCGCAAGGGGGGGAGAGACUGCAUGCUAAUGGGCUCUCGGGAAUGUAAUGAAGAUGUAUCCGAAUUCCU